GAGAAACAAAACUGUCUCGUGGAGGGUGCUGGGAAGAGCCAUGGGGGAGUGCGUAUACUGCGGGCUAACCAGCGCUUAGUUGCGCGGUGCCUGUGGGUGCUCUGCCGGGAGCCUUCUGCUAAGGUGCCCUGCAUGUAGAACACACACACAGUGGAGACACGUAUGCACGUUUUUCUGGGUGCACAUGGUGCUUUGGGCUGGCAACGGCCCAGAGUGCAGCACACAAAACACAAACAAAAAUGCAGUGUAGAAAAUAGUCAGCAAAAAACACGAGUUCUGGGGCAGUGCGCGAGUGCUGUGGCAGGACGAGUGAUGUACAAAUCUUCA
rnacentral:rRNA from 1 species